rnacentral:rRNA from 1 species
GGAGGAAAAGAAACUAACAAGGAUUCCCCUAGUAACGGCGAGUGAAGCGGGAAGAGCUCAAAUUUGUAAUCUGGCCCUUUCAGGGUCCGAGUUGUAAUCUCGAGAAGUGUUUUCCGCGCCGGACCGCAUACAAGUCUGUUGGAAUACAGCGUCAUAGUGGUGAGAGCCCCGUAAUUGAUGUGGAUGCCCGGUGCUUUGUGAUACACUUUCGAAGAGUCGAGUUGUUUGGGAAUGCAGCUCAAAUUGGGUGGUAAAUUCCAUCUAAAGCUAAAUAUUGGCGAGAGACCGAUAGCGAACAAGUACCGUGAGGGAAAGAUGAAAAGCACUUUGGAAAGAGAGUUAACAGUACGUGAAAUUGUUGGAAGGGAAACGCUUGAAGUCAGACUUGCUAUUCGGAAUUCAGCCGCAAGGUGUACUUUUCGAUUUGCAGGCCAGCAUCAGUUUUUGGGGGUGGAAAAGGGUGGAGAGAAGGUAGCAACCUUGGUUGUGUUAUAGCUCUUUAC